rnacentral:rRNA from 1 species
GGGAAUUUUGGGCAAUGGGCGAAAGCCUGACCCAGCAACGCCGCGUGAGGGAUGAAGUAUUUCGGUAUGUAAACCUCGAAAGAAUGGGAAGAAUAAAUGACGGUACCAUUUAUAAGCUCCGGCUAACUACGUGCCAGCAGCCGCGGUCAUACGUUGGGAGCAAGCGUUGUUCGGAUUUACUGGGCGUACAGGGCGCGUAGGCGGCGCGGUAAGUCACUUGUGAAAUCUCUGAGCUUAACUCAGAACGGCCAAGUGAUACUGCUGUGCUAGAGUGCGGAAGAGGCAACCGGAAUUCUUGGUGUAGCGGUGAAAUGCGUAGAUAUCAAGAGGAACACCUGAGGCGAAGGCGGGUUGCUGGGUCGACACUGACGCUGAUGCGC